CGAGGAAGGAGCCUGGGAGGGUCUUGAGUCCUCCCUCCAUCUCCACCUGCCAUGAAGAUUUCUCCAACUUCCCUCGGUUCCCUCUUCCUUGCGGCCACCUUGGCCCUGGCUGCUGUUUGCCCAUUGGAAGCUGCCAAGGAGACUCAGGAUGAGGCUCAUGAUAAUACCAGAGCCCACUGCUGCCUUACAUAUGCAAAGAAACGAAUUCCAUGCAAGGAAAUAAAAUCCUACGAAUGGGCACCCAGCACAUGUGCCAAGCCGGC